AUUUAAUACUUUUUUGGAUGUUCUACUCUUCCCUGGAGACAAUAUGUUGCAGUACCUUGGAGAUGAGGUAAAGGACUGGGCAGCCAAGGAGAGCAGAGCAGAGCAUCCAGGAAGUCUGCUUCCAAUUAUGUGAACUGCAGCCAGUGCGUGAGGUAGGUGAGGGUGCCCUAUCACUAGGAGCUGGAAGGGGACUGCACUUCAGUUCUGGGAAAUCAAGGGAAGAGUCACUCAAACUCACGGCGGAAGGAUGCCCAGACAGUCAAGAACAUCUUCCUGUGCAGAGAAAUCUCUUCUCAGGCACUCCAGAGCAGCAUCAGCCUCCUCUCGUGCCUCAUGUUCCCAAACAGUGCACGUGCCCCAACAUACUUCGUUGUGCUUAAUGUGACUGUGGCCACGCUUUUGCAGCUGGUGAGAGAUGUGCCAGGCUCUGUGGAUAAGGGUAGCAUAUGCCAUUGUGUGGUUCACCUGCCCAAGGACCUCAUCCGCAUGCAGCAGCUGGAGCAGCUACGGAGUACAGCCCAGGAGCUUAUGGGCAAGUAUGAGCAGGAGCUGUCCAGGGUGAGUGCUGGAGCUGUGGGCUGGGGCUGAGGCUGGAAUUUACACAAGCAUAGCCUCUCCUGGACUCAGCAUGGGGAUGAGCCCUGGUGGUAGAGAAAGAGCUGAAGGAAACACAGCCCCAUCUUUGAGAUGAAUCCUUAGUAUGAAGGGAAAAUUAGGGACUUUUCUUGAGAACCUCAGUGGUAGUAAGAGUAUAGAGAGGCUUAUGUAGGAAGUGCUUCCUACACUAAUGGGCGAAUUAACGAGUAUGGAUCCAUUGGAAGAUGAGAAUAUUGUAUAGAACAAUAAAAGGCUUGGAAAUGGGAUGGUUAGUGCAAAGGAGGUAGGAAAGACUUUGAUUCGAAGAGAUAAAAUAGGGGCAAUGUGUGGAGAGACUUGAGUGUCAGGCUGGUGCACUUGCAAUUGAUGCUAUAAGUAAGGAUGAAUGACUAGAAAUGUUGCAUCAGCAGUGUGAUGGGGUCAGUUGCUUUUUGUAAUGGUCACUCAUGGAGCUCCUGGGGAAUAUUGAUGGGAUGGGGCCAGACUGGAAGCUGGGAGUCUGUCCAUUCAUUUAUUCACCAAGUGACUCCUGAGAGUGUGGAUCUAACCAGGAAAAGAAAGAGAAAAUCUAGAUUGUGUAGGGGAAAGAGUUAUUUUUCCUGCAGUGAAAAGGAUGUGAGCGUUCUCAGCUGUGAAAUGGAAAUAAAACUAAUGCUCACCUCAAGGGCUAUUAAUGGAAGCAAAUAAGGUGACAGAUAUGAGAAUAUUUUGUAGGCUGUAGGGGGAUGUGGAUGGAUGAAAAGAGCCACAGGUGUUGAGGUUUGGGGGAACGGCCUGUCCAAAACCCCAUGCCCAUGUCAGUGAGUAUGCAUGAGCCAUUGAAGACCAGGAUAACCAGGUCCUGGAAAGAAACUGCAACCUGGAGUCCAGGAAUCCUCCUGCUCUUCUGCCUUCUAUGAGGUCCCAGCCUUCAACUUACUGUGCCUGGCGCUGGAGGGAGCAUACGAGUUCAUGACCCAGCUUAAGGCUAAGGGAGGAGUUAGUGAGACUGGGAGCCUCCUCUACCAACUCCAGAGCCAGGUGGCUAACGCCAACCUCACACUCAAGCUUCUGGCUGAGUCUGACCAGCGCAGCUUCCAUGCUGUUAGCCAGGAUGUGGAUGUCCUUGAGGGCCAGCUAAGUGAGUGUGAGAGGGAGAAGGAGCAAGAAGAAGCCUCAGGGCACCCCUGCACCCUGGUGAUGCCUAAGACUGAAUUUCCCAAGAUCUCAUCUCCACAAGGACAGGGUUGGGCAUGCAAGAUCGUCUAUGGUGUAUUGAGAGUU